CCCAGGAUACAACACAGUCACACAAUUCGAAAGUAACGUUAAUCACCUUUGAGCACAGAGGACCAGGUCUGCCAUGAAAGAUCACGUAUUGUCCUACUUCUGAACUCCAGUCUUUGCCUUCUACUGACCUGAGUUGCUCUACAGACAACACUUUUGCUUGCUCUGAAACUCAGAUGCAAACCAUGAGAAGCAAGGAUGUGCCAACCACAACUGAAGCAAAAGAACUGUCAGUUCUUGUAAAGGGUCUGGUGUCCGUUGUGAAGAUGACAUCCUGUUUCAACGGCGACUAAAAAGGAAAAUGGACCAGGCCAGACAAUGGAGUCAGGAGGACCCUUCCCACAAUUCUGUUCUCCAUAUACCUCUAUCACACAGUUUCAGGCCAAACCAGUGACCCACCAGUUUUAGAUUUUCAGAUUUACUACUUCAUGGUUUCCUUUUAGAAGGCACACUCUAGCCCUUUAAAUAGCACACCUCAUUAGAGAACAGGCCUCUCAUUCGCACCGGACACCCUCGCUGGCCUCGAUCCUCCAUUCCCUGAGUCUCCUCUCCAUCUGUCAAGUCCCAGUGUCUCCAGACUCCGGCCCAAUGUCACCCACGAGCAACCAGACCCCGAUAUCCAAACUAAACCCCUUCCCCAGCAGAGACUGUCCUCCAGGAAAGCUGUCACAAAGAGUCUGGAAACCCUUUGUGCCCAGCCAUAUAAUCACAAGCCAAUCAGAACACAAGUCAGCAUCCCAGAGACCACAGCAGAGGUCCACUUCUCCAUCUCCACAGACUUCUGAUAGCACAGAGGAGCGGUGGCGGCCCCUCAUCAUAAGAAAGACACAGCAGGCAAAGAAAAGACUGAAAAUGAGAAGAAGAGAACAUGAGAAGAAGAUUGUACCUUUAAGCCAAAAGAAAAAAUCUGAACAGUAAUGUCCUAAUCAAACUUUGAACAAACUAAGCAAAACCUGACAGAUGUUUAAUGACAAGUAAUUUUAAUAAAAAAAUGUUGUUAAACAUUUACAUUAAAACAUUAAAAACAUUACCCAUCAUUUUUACUUGUGAAUCAGAACAGAAUAACAUAAACUCUGUCCUUGACAUCGUCAGGUUGUCUCUGAGGUGCUUUUUGCUGGUACAAACUCACAAAGCCAGUGCAAAACAGAUUCCCCAGUAUAUACCCCACCUCUACCCCACAAUCCCCUGUUGCCUCUUGGUCAGCUCAUGCAGGAUGCAGAAGUUAAGAAGAUCUCAUGCGUUCAUUUAAACUAGCUGUAAAACUGCCUGAUGAUGGGAUUUAACAGGUCACGUAAGGGUCAAGUGUUUAGGCCUGAACCUGUUAUAAAUAGGGCUGGUCCGAAUAAAAUUGUUUGAGCUUCAAAGCUUCUAUUAGUAAUCAACACCGAAUAUUCGUAGCUUCAGAGGGGGGGCUAAACAUAUUCUUUUCUCUGUGU